CAGCAGCCGCGGUAAUACGUAGGUGGCAAGCGUUGUCCGGAAUUAUUGGGCGUAAAGCGCGCGCAGGCGGUYUYUUAGUCUGAUGUGAAAGCCCACGGCUCAACCGUGGAGGGUCAUUGGAAACUGGGAGACUUGAGUGCAGAAGAGGAGAGUGGAAUUCCACGUGUAGCGGUGAAAUGCGUAGAGAUGUGGAGGAACACCAGUGGCGAAGGCGRCUCUCUGGUCUGUAACUGACGCUGAGGCGCGAAAGCGUGGGGAGCRAACAGGAUUAGAUACCCUGGUAGUCCACGCCGUAAACGAUGAGUGCUAAGUGUUAGAGGGUUUCCGCCCUUUAGUGCUGCAGCUAACGCAUUAAGCACUCCGCCUGGGGAGUACGGCCGCAAGGCUGAAACUCAAAGGAAUUGAC
rnacentral:rRNA from 1 species